AAUGGCUGAUUUUCAUCAGAAGUACAUGUGCUACAGAAUGUUAGGCUCUAGUCCGAUGCUUUUGGAUCAUGCAGUAUAUUUCCUUUAUUCAGGCGAUAUAGUGAAAAAUGGUAGCGUAAUAGAUAUUGAGAAGGAUCUUCCAGGAUUGAAAGAACAGUGUCUGAAUUUAUUCACAAAGCACCAUUUGAAUACUGCAUAUCCACUAACAGGUUACAUAUCACCUGAAGUUUGCCUUCAUGGGCACACCUAUAAACCUGGAAUUAUUUUGCAUCUUAAUUAUGUAAAAGGUGUUCCAACUUUUGGUCUUGUGCUUCAAAACCUCAUACAUGACAGCAUGAAGUUUUUCAUAUUGGAAAACUUGAUUACUUCAGGAUUUGAUGGCCAUUAUAAUGCAUAUGUUUUGAAAGCUACUGGAAAUAAAGUAGUACAGAGUUUUAUUGAUAUUGAAAACAAGUGGCCUUUGAGUGUAUACCAUGUCAACAAUGAAAUGUAUGUUACUAACCGAUAUUGUCACUUUGUUGAAUUUAUAUAGACCUAUGGUAACAGUCAUGAGCAUGACGUUACACUGCAUCAUAGGAGAAGGAAAACUCUGAUAUAAAACCACCUGCUGCUUUAUAGGUUGUGUCUACAUAUUUAAGGCUGUAUCACACGUGCACAUUUUCCUGCGACAUCGUGUUGUGCAACAUCAUUUCCGACGACCUGCCGUCCUCGGAAAUGAUCAAAGACCGUCGUUUAUUUUUCUGCGACUACAACAAUUAAACAAUUGUCUUUGAUAAUUUCCAAGGAUGGCAGGUCGUCGUAAAUGUUGUCGCAGGAAAAUGUGCCUGUGUGAUAUGGCCUUAAGAUGAAUUGUAGGAGAAGGAUCACUCUAUUAAACAAAUAAUUAAGUGCGAGGGGGACAGGAUCCCCUACACUGUAUGGUCUCCCAGAAACAGUGGGCACACCACACACAGAGAGUGGAGUGUAUAGACACCCUUAAAACCACUAGAUUGCGCCCUCUCUGGGGUGUACCCUUUUGGCCUAGGUAUAUAGAUGGAUGGAUUGUAACAAACUAAUGAAAAAAAGUAAAAAAGAUAAGAAAAAACAUGGAAGGGCAAUUUAACCUAAACCUAUCGGAAUUAUUAAACGCUUCAUAUCAGUCAGUAUCUAUGAUGCAUUUGUGUGUUCCAUUGUGUGAAGCAUAUAUGUAUGUAUGCAUAUAUGUCAAAACUGAUUUACAACUGUCUCAACUUUAUUCCUAAAAAUGCUCCAGAAUGCCAGUUUUCCGUAUUUGGUGUGCUGAUCGCAUCAUAAGGAAAUCGGUUGUGUCAGUAGCAGAAAUUGAAGAACUAAAGAAAAAAAGCAACACAAAAACUCGGUUUGGAGUUGGUAGGACCUACGAAGUUAGUUCUAGAGAAAUGUGGUACAGAAGUGGACGACGAUGAGGUGUUGGAAGAAAUUGCUGAUGAAGUCUUACUAUUGUUGGCUGAUGGAGAAACUUAUACACCAUCUGUAGCUCAGCAAAUACCUGACUCUACUCGAAGUUUGGUAACAUGUACUACAGGCGAUGUACUUCAACCCAGCAGGAGUGCAAGUGACAACGAAAAGGCAAGCACAAGUUCAAGUGAGACAGAGGCAUAUGCCAGUCACAAAUCAUGUAACACAUUAUCAUUGCCUCUGCCAGAACUCUCACGGGCAACCCGAGAUGACUUACAACAGGGAGAUAAAUCAAGACGGGUCUUGUUGCAGCUGAUAGAAGAAUCCAAGAACUACUACAUGAAGUAUUGCCCUCUGCUUGAUGAAA